UACGAAGGGGGCUAGCGUUGCUCGGAAUCACUGGGCGUAAAGCGCACGUAGGCGGCUUCUUAAGUCAGGGGUGAAAUCCUGGAGCUCAACUCCAGAACUGCCUUUGAUACUGAGGAGCUCGAGUCCGGGAGAGGUGAGUGGAACUGCGAGUGUAGAGGUGAAAUUCGUAGAUAUUCGCAAGAACACCAGUGGCGAAGGCGGCUCACUGGCCCGGUACUGACGCUGAGGUGCGAAAGCCAGGGGAGCAAACGGG
rnacentral:rRNA from 1 species